AUUUAUAUAAUGAUAUUUAAUACUACUUUUAUUUAAUACUACUUUUAUUUAUUUAUGUAAUGCUAAAUAGGUCUGUGUACUUGGUGGUUGAGACAAUGGACCAUGAACACAGUGUUAGACUGUGCUUCUGGAUCCUUGUGAAACCAGUACCAGACUAUAACUGUUGCUGUGUUCUGCUCACAACAACACUAAAAACCUAAAAACAUGAACUUAAAUAUUUAUUAUAUUAUGAAAUUUAAUAGUACUUUUACAAACUGCUGUGUUCUGCUUCCAACAACAUUAAAAACCUAAAAACACGAACAUAAAUAUUUAUUAUAUUAUGAAAUUUAAUAGUACUUUUACAAACUGCUGUGUUCUGCCCACAACACUAAAAACCUAAAUAUAUUAACUUACCUAUUUCUAUGAUGAUUUUUAAUACUACUUUAAUUAAUUGUAUUUAUGUAAUGUUAAAUAGGUCUGUGUACUUGGUGGUUGAGACAAUGGACCAUGAACACAGUGUUAGGCUGUGCUUCUGGAUCCUUGUGAAACCAGUACCAGACUAUAACUGUUGCUGUGUUUUGUUCACAGCCACCUCUACCAUUUUAUUCUCAAAUUGUCCUGUUCCUAAAAGAAAUUAAUAAUAAUAAUAAUAAUA